CCUACGGGGGGCAGCAGUGGGGAAUAUUGGGCAAUGGGCGCAAGCCUGAACCAGCAACGCCGCGUGAAGGAAGAAGGCUUUCGGGUUGUAAACUUCUUUUCUUAGGGACGAAGCAGGUGACGGUACCUGAGGACUAAGCCACGGCUAACUACGUGCCAGCAGCCGCGGUAAUACGUAGGUGGCAAGCGUUAUCCGGAUUUACUGGGUGUACAGGGCGCGUAGGCGGGGACGCAAGUCAGAUGUGAAAACCACGGGCUCAACCUGUGGCCUGCAUUUGAUACUGUGUUUCUUGAGAACUGGAGAGGCAGACGGAAUUCCUGGUGUAGCGGUGAAAUGCUUAGAGAUUAGGAGGAACACCAGUGGCGAAGGCGGUCUGC
rnacentral:rRNA from 1 species